UUUAAUUUAGUACUAUUUUACAGUUCAGUUUGAAACUGGAAAAUAUUAUACUGCAAUUGUAAUUCAAAAUGAUGAAAAGCGAGCGUCUUGGAACGAGUUAAUUGGCAAAACUUAAUUAAAAACAAAUUGAGAAAUUCAAUUAUAAGAGAUCCGAACGUUUGUUAUUCAAUAUUGAGAAUGCGAUUCGUUGGAGUUUUUAUUUUAUUUAUAGCUGUUUUCUGUGUACAUUCACAGGUACCAUAUGACUAUCCACCUAUAGGACGGGAAGCAAGAAGAGAUGCGUCGAGACCUCAUCCAUCUGAUGUAAACCUUAUUUAUGAGAGGCUGUUCCCUUCACGACGCAAAUAUGCAGAUUAAAGUUAUUUCGCUAUAUUUCGUCGUUUGCUAGAAACAAUUUCACUGAGGCGAGAAUUUCUUUCAAAAAGUAUUAUCAAUUACACAUUUUAUACGUUAAAUGUAAACUUAAACGUGUA